rnacentral:rRNA from 1 species
UACGUAGGGUGCAAGCGUUGUCCGGAAUUAUUGGGCGUAAAGAGCUCGUAGGCGGUCUGUCGCGUCGGCUGUGAAAACCCGGAGCUCAACUCCGGGCCUGCAGUCGAUACGGGCAGACUGGAGUUCGGCAGGGGAGACUGGAAUUCCGGGUGUAGCGGUGGAAUGCGUAGAGAUCCGGAAGAACACCGGUGGCGAAGGCGGCCUGCUGGGCAGUAGCUGAGGAGCGAAAGCGUGGGGAGCAAACAGG